CAGUCGCCACGGUAAUACGUAGGGUGCAAGCGUUAAUCGGAAUUCUGGGCGUAAAGCGUGCGCAGGCGGUUCUAUAAGACAGAUGUGAAAUCCCCGGGCUCAACCCGGGAACUGCAUUUGUGACUGUAGAGCUGGAGUGCGGCAGAGGGGGAUGGAAUUCCGCGUGUAGCAGUGAAAUGCGUAGAUAUGCGGAGGAACACCGAUGGCGAAGGCAAUCCCCUGGGCCUGCACUGACGCUCAUGCACGAAAGCGUGGGGAGCAAACAGGAUUAGAUACCCGAGUAGUCCCUGUCUCUUAUACA
rnacentral:rRNA from 1 species